GGCCGCGUGGCGCAAUGGAUAGCGCGUUGGACUUCGAAUCCAGAGGUUGUGGGUUCGAGUCCCAUCGUGGUCG
rnacentral:tRNA from 1 species